AGUUAAGUGACGAUAGCCUAGGAGAUACACCUGUUCCCAUGCCGAACACAGAAGUUAAGCCCUAGUACGCCUGAUGUAGUUGGGGGUUGCCCCCUGUUAGAUACGGUAGUCGCUUAGCGU
rnacentral:rRNA from 1 species